UACGUAGGGUGCGAGCGUUGUCCGGAAUUAUUGGGCGUAAAGGGCGCGUAGGCGGCUUGGCAAGUGGAAGGUGAAAUCCCUCGGCUUAACCGAGGAACUGCCCUCCAAACUGCUUCGCUUGAGACCGGGAGAGGUGAGUGGAAUUCCCAGUGUAGCGGUGAAAUGCGUAGAUAUUGGGAGGAACACCAGUGGCGAAGGCGGCCCACUGGACCGGUACUGACGCUGAUGCGCGAAAGCGUGGGGAGCAAACGGG
rnacentral:rRNA from 1 species